rnacentral:misc_RNA from 1 species
GAACGCACCUUGCGCCCUUUGGCCAUUCCGAAGGGCAUGCCUGUUUGAGUAUCAUGAACACCUCAACUCUCAUGGCUCGCCAUGAUGAGCUUGGAUUUGGGGGUCUUGCUGGCCUGUGGUCGGCUCCUCUCAAAUGGAUCAGCUUGCCAGUGUUUGGUGGCAUCACAGGUGUGAUAACUAUCUACGCUUGUGGUUUCCUGCCAUAUAACCUUCAGUGAUGGAGGUUCGCUGGAGCUCACAGAUGUCUCUCCUCGGUGAGGACAGCUUUUUGAACGUUUGAUCUCAAAUCAGGUAGGACUACCCGCUGAACUUAAG